AGUUCAUUCAUCAGAUUGAACGCUGGCGGGAUACUUUACAUGCAAGUCAGACAGCAGCACGGACUUCCCGGUCUGGUGGCGAGUGGCGAACAGGUGGUAUUAAUAUCGGAACGUGCCUAGUAGCAGGGGGAUAACUACGCGAAAGCGUAGCUAAUACCAUACGCCCUUCGGGGAAAGCGGGGGACCCUUCGGGCCUCGCACACUAUUAGAGCAACCGAUAUCGGAUUAGCUAGUUGGUGAAUAACGGCUCACCAAGGCGACGAUCGUAACUGGUUUGAAGGACAAACCAGCACACUGGGACCUGAACUGACCCAGACUCCUACGGGAGAGCAGCAGUGGAAAUUUUUGGACAAUGGGGAAACCUGAUCCAGCCAUCCCGCGUGUGCGAUGAAGGCCUUCGGUUGUAAAGCGCCUGGCAGGAAAGAAACUGGCACAGGAUAAUACCCCAUGCAACUGACGAUACCUGCAGAAUGGCACCGGCUAACUACGUGCCCGGCAACCGCGGUAAUACGUAGGGUGCAAGCACGUUAAUCAGGAAUUACUGGGCGUAAAGCGUGCGCAGUGGUUCGGAAAGAAGAUGUGAAAUCGGAAGCAACUGAACUAAAUUUUUAACUACCGAGCUAGAAGUGUCAGAGGAGGUGCGAUUCACGCGAUAUUGGCGCAGUGAAAUGCGUAGAUAUGCGGAGAGAACACCGAUGGCAAGGAGCAGCUACAGGAUAACACUGACGCUCAUACACAGCGUGGGAGCAAACAGGAUUAGAUACCUGAUAGUCCACGCCUAAACGAUGUCAACUAGCUGUUGGGGCCCGGGCCUUGGUAGCGCAGCUAACGCGUGAAGUUGACCGCCUGGGAAUCAGUCGCAAGAUUAAAACUCAAAGGAAUUGACGGGGACCCGCACAAGCGAUGGAUGGUGUGGAUUGGUCGAUGCGGCAUGAAAAACCUUACCUACCCUUGACAUGUCUGGAAUCGAAGAGAUUUGGAGGUGCUCGCAGAAGAACCGGAACACAGGUGCUGCAUGGCUGUCGUCAGCUCGUGUCGUGGAUGUUGGGUUAAGUCCCGCAACAGAGCGCAGCGCUUGUCAUUAGUUGCUACGAAAGGGCACUCGUAGAGACUGCCGGUGACAAACCGGAGGAAGGUGGGGAUGACGUCAAGUCCUCAUAUUGCUAUGGGUGAACCGCACGUCAUACAAUGGUCAGGACAGAGGGGUCGCCAACCCGCGAGAGGCAAUCUCCCAGAGCCCGAUCGUAGCCGGAUCGCAGUCUGCAACUCGACUGCGUGAAGUCGAUCUUAGUAAUCGCGGAUCGCUAUCGCGGUGAAUACGUUUCCCGGGUCUUGUACACCGCCCGUCACACCAUGGGAGUGGGUUUACCAGAAGUAGUUAGCCCUAAUGUACGUAAGGGCGAUUACCACGGUAGGAUUCAUGACUGGGGUGAAGUCAUAACAAGGU
rnacentral:rRNA from 1 species